CAGCAGCCGCGGUAAUACGCAGGGUGCAAGCGUUAAUCGGAAUUACUGGGCGUAAAGCGUGCGCAGGCGGUUAUGUAAGACAGUUGUGAAAUCCCCGGGCUCAACCUGGGAACUGCAUCUGUGACUGCAUAGCUAGAGUACGGUAGAGGGGGAUGGAAUUCCGCGUGUAGCAGUGAAAUGCGUAGAUAUGCGGAGGAACACCGAUGGCGAAGGCAAUCCCCUGGACCUGUACUGACGCUCAUGCACGAGAGCGUGGGGAGCAAACAGGAUUAGAUACCCCGGUAGUCCCUGUCUCUUAUAC
rnacentral:rRNA from 1 species